ensembl:lncRNA
AUGGUCGUCUCACCUCGAAUCCUCCAGCUGGCCAACCCCAAAACCAACCACCCCAACUUCACCAGCAACAGACAGAAUGUGCAGACAUUCAUCUCAUAUGCAGCUCAAACAGCCAAGAUGACGUCCAGACUGGAGCAGCUCUCACUGCCCAAACUAAGAAAGACAAGACACUUCUAUGACCAGAGAGUCCAAUCGAAACUCUGUCUAGAGGAGCAAGAAUUGCUACGGCGAGUGCCCGAACCCAAGCUUUAUCCACUCCUAAAGCCCUCUCUAAAGAUUACAUCCCACCCAGAGAACCAACAUGGCAGCCCUGAGAAAACAAGACAGACCACAAAGCUGUGGUUUCCAGCAUAUUCAUCAUCUGCAGUUAUUGUAUUUUGUCACUUUCUCGCCCCUUCCUUUUCCUAUCAGGAGCCUGUUGAUUGGUUGAGCUCUGGUUUUCUAAUCAGUCUCAGAUUUUGA